AUCCAGCCAAGUGAAAAACACUCUCCAGGAGGUAGGCAUAUCAUUAUUCAAGUCUACCAUGAAGAGAAGACCUCACAAGAGCAAAUACAGAGGGUUCACCACACUGUACAAACCAUUUGUAAGCCUCAAGAAUAGAAAGGCUAAAUCAGACUUUGCCAAAAAAAAUCUUAAAAAGCCAGCCCAAUUCUGGAACAGCAUUCGUUAGAUAAAAUAUCAACCUGUUCCAGUAUGAAGGGGAAGAAAAAAAGUAUGGAGAAGGUUUGGAACAGCUCAUGAUCUGAAGCAUACAACAUCAUCUGUAAAACACAGUGGAGGCAGUGUGAUGGCAUGGGCACACAUGGCUUCC